CCUACGGGUGGCUGCAGUGAGGAAUAUUGGUCAAUGGGCGGGAGCCUGAACCAGCCAAGCCGCGUGAAGGAAGAAGGUACAGCGUAUCGUAAACCUCUUUUGUCCGGGAACAAAGCCGGGUACGAGUCCCCGGAUGAGGGUACCUGAAGAAAAAGCAUCGGCUAACUCCGUGCCAGCAGCCGCGGUAAUACGGAGGAUGUGAGCGUUAUCCGGAUUUAUUGGGUUUAAAGGGUGCGCAGGCGGCCUGUUAAGUCAGCGGUAAAAGCCCGGGGCUCAACCCCGGCGAGCCGUUGAAACUGGCGGGCUGGAGUGGGAGAGAGGUACGCGGAAUGCGGGGUGUAGCGGUGAAAUGCUUAGAUAUCGCGCAGAACCCCGAUUGCGAAGGCAGCGUACCGGCUCCACACUGACGCUGAGGCACGAAAGCGUGGGGAGCGAACAGGAUUAGAUACCCUGGUAGUC
rnacentral:rRNA from 1 species